rnacentral:rRNA from 1 species
ACGGGAGGCAGCAGUGGGGAAUAUUGCACAAUGGGGGAAACCCUGAUGCAGCGACGCCGCGUGAGCGAAGAAGUAUUUCGGUACGUAAAGCUCUAUCAGCAAGGAAGAAAAUGACGGUACUUGACUAAGAAGCCCCGGCUAACUACGUGCCAGCAGCCGCGGUAAUACGUAGGGGGCAAGCGUUAUCCGGAUUUACUGGGUGUAAAGGGAGCGUAGACGGUAAGGCAAGUCUGAAGUGAAAUGCAUGGGCUCAACCCAUGAACUGCUUUGGAAACUGUCAAACUAGAGUGCAGGAGAGGUAAGUGGAAUUCCUAGUGUAGCGGUGAAAUGCGUAGAUAUUAGGAGGAACACCAGUGGCGAAGGCGGCUUACUGGACUGUAACUGACGUUGAGGCUCGAAAGCGUGGGGAGCAAACAGGAUUAGAUACCCUGGUA